rnacentral:snRNA from 1 species
UUGCUUUGGCAGCAUAUAUACUAAAAUUGGAAUGAUACAGAGAUUAGCACUGUGCAAGGGGAACAUGCAAAUUCAUGAAGCACUCCAUAAAAGU